rnacentral:lncRNA from 1 species
AUAUGCAUCCCUUAUUUCAGUGCUUGGUGAAUAUAUCCUAUAUGAAUAGCAACAGUCAUAAAUAAAUGAUUAGCAAAACUAAUUGUAAAUGCAUAUAAAACUUAGUAUUAAUUCAAAAAACGAUUUAGGAUAGCGAAUAAUGAUAUAUUGGAAAUUUACGUUUCCAAAAUGGCCAUCAUUCAAGAUGGUCACCUAAUACUUCAAUAGUCCUCAGUUGAUAUUCUUUGUCAUAAGAUAUACGAAAGUUUAUCAAAAUUGGUAAAGUAAUAUAUUUUUCAUAUUUUGUCUAAUAAUUUUUAUUAAUUUUUUG